rnacentral:rRNA from 1 species
AGAGUUUGAUCAUGGCUCAGGAUGAACGCUAGCGGCAGGCCUAAUACAUGCAAGUCGAACGGGCUGGAGUAGCAAUACUUCAGUUAGUGGCGCACGGGUGCGUAACGCGUAUGCAACCUACCUUUUAUUGGGGGAUAGCCCGAAGAAAUUCGGAUUAAUACCGCAUAAUAUCAUUUGAGGGCAUCUGAGGAUGAUGAAAGCUAAGGCGAUAAAAGAUGGGCAUGCGUGUCAUUAGCUAGUUGGUGAGGUAACGGCUCACCAAGGCGACGAUGACUAGGGGUUCUGAGAGGAUGAUCCCCCACACUGGUACUGAGAUACGGACCAGACUCCUACGGGAGGCAGCAGUAGGGAAUAUUGGGCAAUGGCCGCAAGGCUGACCCAGCCAUGCCGCGUGCCGGAUGAAGGCCUUCUGGGUUGUAAACGGCUUUUACCAGGGAAGAAAAUACCUUUGCGAAGGGAACUGACGGUACCUGGUGAAUAAGCACCGGCUAACUCCGUGCCAGCAGCCGCGGUAAUACGGAGGGUGCAAGCGUUGUCCGGAUUUAUUGGGUUUAAAGGGUGCGUAGGCGGCCAAGUAAGUCCGUGGUGAAAGCCAACAGCUCAACUGUUGAACUGCCAUGGAUACUGCUAGGCUUGAGUACAGACGAGGUAGGCGGAAUGGAUCGUGUAGCGGUGAAAUGCAUAGAUACGAUCCAGAACUCCGAUUGCGAAGGCAGCUUACUAGGCUGUAACUGACGCUGAGGCACGAAAGCGUGGGGAGCGAACAGGAUUAGAUACCCUAGUAGUCC